CAGUCGAGCGAUGGAUUGAGAGCUUGCUCUCAGAAGUUAGCGGCGGACGGGUGAGUAACACGUGGGUAACCUGCCCAUAAGACUGGGAUAACUCCGGGAAACCGGGGCUAAUACCGGAUAAUAUUUUGAACUGCAUGGUUCGAAAUUGAAAGGCGGCUUCGGCUGUCACUUAUGGAUGGACCCGCGUCGCAUUAGCUAGUUGGUGAGGUAACGGCUCACCAAGGCAACGAUGCGUAGCCGACCUGAGAGGGUGAUCGGCCACACUGGGACUGAGACACGGCCCAGACUCCUACGGGAGGCAGCAGUAGGGAAUCUUCCGCAAUGGACGAAAGUCUGACGGAGCAACGCCGCGUGAGUGAUGAAGGCUUUCGGGUCGUAAAACUCUGUUGUUAGGGAAGAACAAGUGCUAGUUGAAUAAGCUGGCACCUUGACGGUACCUAACCAGAAAGCCACGGCUAACUACGUGCCAGCAGCCGCGGUAAUACGUAGGUGGCAAGCGUUAUCCGGAAUUAUUGGGCGUAAAGCGCGCGCAGGUGGUUUCUUAAGUCUGAUGUGAAAGCCCACGGCUCAACCGUGGAGGGUCAUUGGAAACUGGGAGACUUGAGUGCAGAAGAGGAAAGUGGAAUUCCAUGUGUAGCGGUGAAAUGCGUAGAGAUAUGGAGGAACACCAGUGGCGAAGGCGACUUUCUGGUCUGUAACUGACACUGAGGCGCGAAAGCGUGGGGGAGCUAACAGGAUUAGAUACCCUGGUAGUCCACGUC
rnacentral:rRNA from 1 species